GACGAACGCUGGCGGCGUGCUUAACACAUGCAAGUCGAACGGAAAGGCCCUUCGGGGUACUCGAGUGGCGAACGGGUGAGUAACACGUGGGUGAUCUGCCCUGCACUUUGGGAUAAGCCUGGGAAACUGGGUCUAAUACCGAAUAGGACCGCGCGCUUCAUGGUGUGUGGUGGAAAGCUUUGGCGGUGGGGGAUGGGCCCGCGGCCUAUCAGCUUGUUGGUGGGGUAAUGGCCUACCAAGGCGACGACGGGUAGCCGGCCUGAGAGGGUGACCGGCCACACUGGGACUGAGAUACGGCCCAGACUCCUACGGGAGGCAGCAGUGGGGAAUAUUGCACAAUGGGCGCAAGCCUGAUGCAGCGACGCCGCGUGAGGGAUGACGGCCUUCGGGUUGUAAACCUCUUUCACCAGGGACGAAGCGCAAGUGACGGUACCUGGAGAAGAAGCACCGGCCAACUACGUG
rnacentral:rRNA from 1 species